AGAGUUUGAUCCUGGCUCAGAACGAACGCUGGCGGCAGGCUUAACACAUGCAAGUCGAACGCGUGUAGCAAUACACGAGUGGCGCACGGGUGAGUAACGCGUGGAUAUCUGCCUUUUGGUUCGGAAUAACCCCGGGAAACUGGGGCUAAUACCGGAUGGUUCCUACGGGAUAAAGAUUUAUCGCCAAAAGAUGAGUCCGCGUACGAUUAGCUAGUUGGUGAGGUAAUGGCUCACCAAGGCGACGAUCGUUAGCUGGUCUGAGAGGACGAUCAGCCACACUGGGACUGAGACACGGCCCAGACUCCUACGGGAGGCAGCAGUGGGGAAUAUUGGACAAUGGGGGCAACCCUGAUCCAGCCAUGCCGCGUGAGUGAUGAAGGCCUUCGGGUUGUAAAGCUCUUUUGGCGGGGACGAUGAUGACGGUACCCGCAGAAUAAGCCCCGGCUAACUUCGUGCCAGCAGCCGCGGUAAGACGAAGGGGGCUAGCGUUGUUCGGAAUUACUGGGCGUAAAGCGAGUGUAGGUGGUUGUCCAAGUUGGAUGUGAAAGCCUUGAGCUCAACUCAAGAAAUGCAUUCAGGACUGGAUGGCUAGAGGACCGGAGAGGAUAGUGGAAUUCCCAGUGUAGUGGUGAAAUACGUAGAGAUUGGGAAGAACACCAGUGGCGAAGGCGGCUAUCUGGACGGUUUCUGACACUAAGACUCGAAAGCGUGGGGAGCAAACAGGAUUAGAUACCCCCGUAGUCC
rnacentral:rRNA from 1 species